UAAAAUACUGUUGCUGUAUGAGAUUGCAUG
rnacentral:piRNA from 1 species